AGAGAAUGUAAAUAUAGCGUUUGAAGAAAAUGUUCAAGACAUCAAUGGAAGGAAAAAAGACGCCGAAACCUCACCGGACAAUGUACUGGAAAGCAAGCUCUAAGUGCGUAUGAUUAAAGAUCUCACAUCCACACCAAGUGAAACGAGACUAGCCAAGCAGAGUAGCUGCAAUAGCAA